rnacentral:rRNA from 1 species
CUCGCCUUCUGUUAGUGGUUUGGUGGCUCCCAGUUCUGGCAAUCCAUCAUACAGCUCCUCCCAGUACUCUGCAUCGGGACCUCGAUUGCGGUUGGAUCUGGCACCAUCACGCUAUUUUGGUUCAAUCGUUGGGCUGGGGACGCCCCCUUUGGGUCACGUUUUCCUGACCUGUUCUUCAUCGCGGUUGACCCGCGGAUCUCUGUCACGGUGGCCCUUAUUGACUUAGGGCAGCUCGCGUUCCGACAUCCAUUUGGCCCGGAUGAGAAUGCCGCUUGGCAUGACUUGCUCGACUGCAUCACAUUGCACGAGCCUGAGCUUGAUGUGGAAGAUGAUCGCACCAGGUGGCGUCUAGAGCCCUCUGGUAUAUUCUCCACCAAAUCACUCUACCAGGCUAUCGCCCCCUCUCCGGGACCUGAGGCUCUUUCCUCCAUCUGGGAGAUCCGGCUACCCCUGAAUAUUGGGAUUUUCCUAUGGCAAUGGAUCCGCGGCCGCCUUCCGCCUGGCAUGGAGGUCCUGAAACGCAACGGCACUGGCGAUGGGCGGUGUCCGCUCUGCGGGCCUUAG